rnacentral:rRNA from 1 species
UCGAGCGGUAAGGCCCUUCGGGGUACACGAGCGGCGAACGGGUGAGUAACACGUGGGUGAUCUGCCCUGCACUUCGGGAUAAGCCUGGGAAACUGGGUCUAAUACCGGAUAUGACYUCCUGCCGCAUGGUGGGGGGUGGAAAGGUUUACUGGUGCAGGAUGGGCCCGCGGCCUAUCAGCUUGUUGGUGGGGUAAUGGCCUACCAAGGCGACGACGGGUAGCCGACCUGAGAGGGUGACCGGCCACACUGGGACUGAGACACGGCCCAGACUCCUACGGGAGGCAGCAGUGGGGAAUAUUGCACAAUGGGCGAAAGCCUGAUGCAGCGACGCCGCGUGAGGGAUGACGGCCUUCGGGUUGUAAACCUCUUUCAGCAGGGACGAAGCGCAAGUGACGGUACCUGCAGAAGAAGCACCGGCCAACUACGUGCCAGCAGCCGCGGUAAUACGUAGGGUGCAAGCGUUGUCCGGAAUUACUGGGCGUAAAGAGCUCGUAGGCGGUUUGUCGCGUCGUCUGUGAAAACUCGUAGCUCAACUACGGGCGUGCAGGCGAUACGGGCAGACUAGAGUACUGCAGGGGAGACUGGAAUUCCUGGUGUAGCGGUGAAAUGCGCAGAUAUCAGGAGGAACACCGGUGGCGAAGGCGGGUCUCUGGGCGUAACUGACGCUGAGGAGCGAAAGCGUGGGUAGCGAACAGGAUUA